rnacentral:rRNA from 1 species
CCUACGGGUCGCACCAGUGGGGAAUAUUGCACAAUGGGCGCAAGCCUGAUGCAGCCAUGCCGCGUGUAUGAAGAAGGCCUUCGGGUUGUAAAGUACUUUCAGGGGGGAGGAAGGCGAUAAGGUUAAUAACCUUGUCGAUUGACGUUACCCGCAGAAGAAGCACCGGCUAACUCCGUGCCAGCAGCCGCGGUAAUACGGAGGGUGCAAGCGUUAAUCGGAAUUACUGGGCGUAAAGCGCACGCAGGCGGUCUGUCAAGUCGGAUGUGAAAUCCCCGGGCUCAACCUGGGAACUGCAUUCGAAACUGGCAGGCUAGAGCCUUGUAGAGGGGGGUAGAAUUCCAGGUGUAGCGGUGAAAUGCGUAGAGAUCUGGAGGAAUACCGGUGGCGAAGGCGGCCCCCUGGACAAAGACUGACGCUCAGGUGCGAAAGCGUGGGGAGCAAACAGGAUUAGAUACCCUCGUAGUC